rnacentral:sRNA from 1 species
UGUCUCUGUGAUUUUCAGAGGAUGAGAACCUCCGAAGGAGGUUUGCGCCGAGCGCAGCGAGACAACGUUGCUUCAGCAACGGCCCGCAGGGGAAUCAUCCUCUCUCGCCGACCA